rnacentral:rRNA from 1 species
AGUGAACGCUGGCGGCAGGCCUAACACAUGCAAGUCGAGCGGCAGCGGGUUCCCGCGAGGGGAUGCCGGCGAGCGGCGGACGGGUGAGGAACACAUCGGAAUCUGCCUGGUUGUGGGGGAUAACGUAGGGAAACUUACGCUAAUACCGCAUGCGACCCUGAGUCGACGGACUGGGGGUGAAAGUGAGGGACCUUCGGGCCUCACGCGACCAGAUGAGCCGAUGUCGGAUAGCUAGUUGGCGGGGUAACGGCCCGCCAAGGCGACGAUCCGUAGCUGGUCUGAGAGGAUGAUCAGCCACACUGGGACUGAGACACGGCCCAGACUCCUACGGGAGGCAGCAGUGGGAAUCUUGGACAAUGGGCGCAAAGCCUGA